UACAGAGGUCCCGAGCGUUGUUCGGAUUCAUUGGGCGUAAAGGGUGCGUAGGCGGUCGGGUAAGUCUGAUGUGAAAUCUCACAGCUUAACUGUGAAACUGCAUUGGAUACUCUCCGGCUAGAGGAAUGGAGGGGAGACUGGAAUACUUGGUGUAGCAGUGAAAUGCGUAGAUAUCAAGUGGAACACCAGUGGCGAAGGCGAGUCUCUGGACAUUUCCUGACGCUGAGGCACGAAAGCCAGGGGAGCAAACGGG
rnacentral:rRNA from 1 species